rnacentral:rRNA from 1 species
GUGAGGAAUUUUCCGCAAUGGGCGAAAGCCUGACGGAGCAAUGCCGCGUGAAGGAUGAAGGCCUAUGGGUUGUAAACUUCUUUUCUCAGAAAAGAAUUAUGACGGUAUCUGAGGAAUAAGCAUCGGCUAACUCUGUGCCAGCAGCCGCGGUAAGACAGAGGAUGCAAGCGUUAUCCGGAAUGAUUGGGCGUAAAGCGUCUGUAGGUUGUUUAAAAAGUAUUCUGUCAAAGAUUAGGGCUUAACCCUAGAUAGGCAGAAUAAACUUUUAAGCUAGAGUUUGAGAGAGGCAGAGGGAAUUCCCGGUGGAGCGGUUAAAUGCGUAGAUAUCGGGAGGAACACCAAAGGCGAAGGCACUCUGCUGGGCCAAUACUAACACUGAGAGACGAAAGCGAGGGGAGCAAAUGGGAUUAGAAACCCUAGUAGUCC